UUUUUCAAUUUCUAGAUCAGCCAGGCAGGGGUGUCCUAUAGCCCCCUUUUUAUAUAUAUUACAGGCAGAGCCCUUGGCCUGUGCAAUAAGGGCAGAAAAGGAAAUUCAAGGCAUUAUAUUGCCUGGGGAAGAAAAUGGGGAGCGAAUAGAAACCAAAUUAAAUAUGUUUGCAGACGACACGCAAUUAUUUAAUAAAAAUGAAAGUUCUGUCAAAAAAUCUUUUGAAAUAUUAGACAAAUAUGAAAAGGUCUCGGGUUCUAAAAUUAAUUACGAAAAGACUAAGGGAAUAAAUAUUGGCGCAAAUAAACGCAGACGACCUACUUUUAAAAAGAUAAGUUGGACAACAGAUAACAUAAAAACACUAGGUAUUCACCAUGGUUAUAACAUUGACAAUGACAAAAUUUGGAAAUUAAUAUUAGAAAAAGUACAAAAUUGUGUACACGUCUGGAAAAGUCGAAAAUUGACUUACUCUGGAAAAGUCCUUAUUAUUAAAAAUUUAAUUAUAUCAGUGUGUGGAUAUGAGUUAGAAAUAAGAGGUAUACCCGAAAAAUACAAAAAAGAAUUGAAUAAGAUAAUAUGGAAUUUAUUUGGGAUGGGAAAGUGAAUCAAGUAGACCGGAAGGUUUGUUGUUUAGAUGUUAAAAAGGGGGGCAUGGGGAUGGUAAAUUUAGAUAGUUGGAUAGAAAGUAAAUAUAUCAAAUCUUUAUAUUCGAUAUUACAUAAGCCAUUAUCUAGUUGGAAUGCAAUAGGUAAAUUUUGGUUAAAAAAAUGUGAUAAGAAAUUUGAGGAUGAACUUUUUCUGUGUAAAUGUUCUGACCUUUCAGGUCUUGAGAUAAAAAACCUACCAUAUUAUUACAAAAGCGCUUUACAAUCGUGGUCAAAAUUGACAAAGAUCACACAGGGUAUAUUUAACGAAAUGGAAGUAAAGAAACAGCGAUUAUUUUGGAA
rnacentral:lncRNA from 1 species